rnacentral:rRNA from 1 species
GGGUGAGUAACACGUGGGUGACCUACCCCGAGGUGGGGAAUAACUACCCGAAAGGGUUGCUAAUUCCGCAUGAGCUCCCAGAUUCGUUUCUGGGAGGAAAGCCGAAAGGCGCCUUGGGAGGGGCCCGCGGCCGAUUUGCUAGUUGGUGGGGUAAAGGCCUACCAAGGCUGGGAUCGGUGGCUGGUCUGAGAGGAUGAUCAGCCACACUGGCACUGAAACACGGGCCAGACUCCUACGGGAGGCAGCAGUAAGGAAUAUUGCACAAUGGGCGAAAGCCUGAUGCAGCAACGCCGCGUGGGUGACGAAGGCCUUCGGGUCGUAAAACCCUUUUCCAGGGGAAGAGGACGGACGGUACCCUGGGAAUAAGCCUCGGCUUACUACGUGCCAGCAGCCGCGGUAAAACGUAGGAGGCGAGCGUUAUCCGGAUUUACUGGGCGUAAAGCGCGCGCAGGCGGCGUCUCAAGUCGGAUGUGAAAUCUCCUGGCUUAACUGGGAGGCUGCGUUCGAAACUGAGGCGCUUGAGGUCAGUAGGGGGGAGUGGAAUUCCAGGUGUAGUGGUAAAAUGCGUAGAUAUCUGGAGGAACACCAGUGGCGAAGGCGGCUCCCUGGACUGCACCUGACGCUGAGGCGCGAAAGCGUGGGGAGCGAACGGGAUUAGAUACCCCGGUAGUCCACGCUGUAAACGAUGGAUGCUAGGUGUUGGUGGUAUUGACCCCACCAGUGCCGAAGCUAACGCGUUAAGCAUCCCGCCUGGGGACUACGGCCGCAAGGUUAAAACUCAAAGGAAUUGACGGGGGCCCGCACAAGCAGCGGAGCGUGUGGUUUAAUUCGAUCGACACGAAGAACCUUACCCAGGCUUGACAUGCACGUUGUAGUGAAGCGAAAGCGGAACGACCCUUCGGGGAGCGUGCACAGGUGCUGCAUGGCUGUCGUCAGCUCGUGCCGUGAGGUGUUGGGUUAAGUCCCGCAACGAGCGCAACCCUCGUCGCUAGUUACAUGUGUCUAGCGAGACUGCCAGGACAAACCUGGAGGAAGGCGGGGAUGACGUCAAGUCAGCAUGGCCUUUAUGCCUGGGGCUACACACACGCUACAAUGGCCGGUACAGUGGGUUGCCAAGCCGUGAGGCGGAGCCAAUCCCCCAAAGCCGGUCUCAGUUCGGAUUGGAGGCUGCAACUCGCCUCCAUGAAGUCGGAGUUGCUAGUAACCGCAGGUCAGCUAUACUGCGGUGAAUACGUUCCCGGGCCUUGUACACACCGCCCGUCACGUCAUGGGAGUCGGUAACACCUGAAGCCGGUGGGCUAACCGCAAGGAGGCAGCUGUCUAAGGUGGGGCUGGCGACUGGGACGAAGUCGGAACAAGGUA